CCUACGGGUGGCAGCAGUGAGGAAUAUUGGUCAAUGGCCGGAAGGCUGAACCAGCCAAGCCGCGUGAGGGAGGAAGGCGCAGAGCGUCGCAGACCUCUUUUGCCGGGGGACAAAAGGCCGGACUCGUCCGGUCCUGAGGGUACCCGGCGAAAAAGCAUCGGCUAAAUCCGUGCCAGCAGCCGCGGUAAUACGGAGGAUCCGAGCGUUAUCCGGAUUUAUUGGGUUUAAAGGGUGUGUAGGCGGCCUUUUAAGUCAGCGGUGAAAGUCUGUGGCUCAACCAUAGAAUUGCCGUUGAAACUGGGGGGCUUGAGUAUGUUUGAGGCAGGCGGAAUGCGUGGUGUAGCGGUGAAAUGCAUAGAUAUCACACAGAACACCGAUUGCGAAGGCAUCUCACGAAUCCGCGAUUGACGCUGAUGCACGAAAGCGUGGGUAUCAAACAGGAUUAGAUACCCCUGUAGUC
rnacentral:rRNA from 1 species